ensembl:lincRNA
GACGGCUCUGUUCUGAACAUCUCUCCCCCGCCAGAGGAGCCCAGCCAAGACCAGCUGGACGACAGGGAGGACCUCCCGUGGGGGGCCCAGUUUGAGCUGCCCCCCAUGCUGCUGGAUCCGGACAGUGAUGGUUACAAGUCAUCGAAAGCCACGCCGUUGAAAAAGCUGGGCAAGCAAGACUCCCUCCUCCCGCCAUCCUCGCUCCACAUCCUGCUGAGCCCGCCGGCUCACGAGGUUGGUGUGUGCAGUGCUAACGGGCUCGCGACUCUGGUGAGGCUCCCUCUCCUGACAGGGUGCUCGGGGCCCGUCAGAGCUGGCCCAGGGCGAGCGCGAGAGAAGCUUCCGGAAUGCAGGUUGUCCUGAAGCAGCCAUCACAGCAGUGCUGACCAUGUAUUGAGCCCGGCUAGCGUCACCACGUUAGGGUCUGGAGCGUCCAGGCCAAAGCACUGCCGAUCAGGAGGCUUAACGCUCAGAAGCUCGUUCUCUCCCACUUCUGGGGCCGGAAGUCUAAGGUCAGGUGUCCCAGGACUGCACGCCCUCCACAGGCUCCGGGGGAGGGUCCCUCCCGCCUCCUCCAGCUCCUGGGGCCCCGGGCUCCUGGGCGGCCUCCUCGUCUGCCUCCGUCUUUACAGCCUCCUCCCUCUGUGGCUCUGUGUCUCUCUUCUUGUAAGGAAACCCCUCUGGGGAUCCAAGACCCACACUCAAUGCAGAGGUGACAUUCGGGGGUGCAAGGUGGACCCGGGCUGGGGUCACCAUGGACCAACCCACUACGACACUCCCCCAGCCAUGCAGGGGCAGGAGUGGGUGUCACCCUCACUUUAUAAACAGGAAAUGAGACCCAGAGAAGCCAGGUGACCGCUCCGUGACCCCUGUCGCUGGGUCUGCUUCGGGGCCCAACCUGGGGCCGCUGACGGUCCGCUGCUGCAAUGUUCCCCGCAGAAGCCAAGCUCCCAGAGCGCCGGGAACCAGGCACCCCCACCCUGAGGACGGCGGCGGAGGCCGGGCUGAGUGCCCAGGCCCUCAAGGAGAUGGCUGCAGGCACCAAGAGCAUCGCCCUCAUCGCGGCUGCCCGGCGCUCCAGGGCGCAGGACCUCGAGGGCAGCAGUGGCUGCCCCUCCCCCCACCCUCCAGGGGCAGCAGCUCCAGACCCCAAGGACCCCAAGCCCAGCAUCGCCCCGGAGACGAGCCUGGCCAACAGGACGUGGCCGCAAGCCAGCCCGGGCAGGGCCCGCUCUGCAGAGAAGAAGGCCAGGGGGAAGCCGUCGCCCCCCCUCACCAGGAGCGUCCAGCCAGCAACAGAAAAACUUCAGCCACCCUCCACGGAUCACAUAGCCGAGAGCCAGCCGUCCCCUGCACUCCCUCAGCUGUCAAAGUCUCUGGGAAAGAGCUUUCUCCCUGCUGUCCCUUCAGCCUCUAAGAUGAAACCCAGCCUCAGUUUUCACGCAGGUAUGCGAUCGAAAAAGGACAAGAGCAAGUUGGGUUUUUUCUGCAUCUCCGCCCCUCCUCUCAAACGUUUGGAAGGUGUUAUCAUUGUCUGCUCCUUGGUGUGA